GAUAUUUACCACACAAAUAUAUCCGCCAGAGAACUACUAGUGAAAAACUUAAAACUCAAAGGAUUUGGCGGUACUCCACCCAAACUAGAGGAGCCUGUCCUAUAAUCGAUAUCCCACGAUCAACCCAACCACCUCUUGUCCAAUCAGCCUAUAUACCGCCGUCGACAGCUUAUCCCAUGAGNGGAUAAAAAAUAAGCACAAUAGUCCAACCACUAACACGUCAGGUCAAGGCGUAGCUAAUGAGAUGGGCAGCGAUGGCUACACUCUCUACAAAGAGGAAACAAAUGGCACCAUGAAAAACUGCCGGAAGGCGGAUUUAGCAGUAGAUUAAGCAAUAAUACUUAUNU
rnacentral:rRNA from 1 species